CCCCGAUCCAUCGGAACGCGCCAGAGUCGAGACUAUUGUCUUAAUCUAAUCCACUACCAUGACAACAGGAGACCAGGGUCGACACAACCACAUGGCUAAUAGCUAUCACACUUCAUGCAAUCCACGCCAGGAGUUCAGGGUCCAGACUUGUUACUGUUUCUCCAUAUCUAUGAAAGUAAGACAUAUAUCAGUUGCUGUGGUUAUGGACUUCCAUUCAUAUCACUGUAAACCAAAACAACUCCAACAAUCCGACAUCGACACAGGGGGAUCUCUCACAAUUUCAGACUGUAUGGUCAAACGAGUGAUAUUGUACUUCUAUAUUAUCUGGACUAGCAGAUGUUAAAAUUGUAAACAGAAGUGUGAGACAUUUAGAAACAACGUGUGACCUGUGAUUUUACCGUCGUCAGUGUGUGCAAUGAAGAUGCCUUGACCUGGCCAGAAAUAAGUCCCAGAAGAAAAAGCAAUUACCAGUAGGAAUAAUUAGGAGGAGAAGAAUACAGGGAUGUACAGUGGAGCACCAUUUUCAACUUUCACAUCAUCUUUUGCUCGUUUGAAAAAUUUGAAAAAUGUAUCGUAAAUGGACUGGUUGGAAAUUCAGAACCAGUUAUAUUUUUGUCUUUUACCAUCUGUUUGUUUGUUUGUUUGUUUGUUUUUAUCACUAUAGCAAGAUGCCGCCCACUCGUAUUUUAACUUUAACACUACCUGUGGAGUCCUGGGUGGAAGGCCUUGCCAAAGGACUUCUUAACCAGCCCCACCCAGAUUCAGAGAAUAUAAAUAUGUUUAUCUCUUGCUAAAUAUGAUUAUAUCUUUCAUAAUAAACCUUCAUAUUGAAGGUGAUAUGUAUGAAUAUGUAUGUACAGAACUCUCUGCUUGCAUUUUUGGCAAAGACAUGUUUGUUGACUAGAUUGUGAUAGACACAUGCAAUGUGCAGAUUCCCGACUGGUUCCCUUCGGCUGACCAAACAACGGACACUGGGUUGAACUGUACGUUUCCCUGUUGCAGGGACACAAGGACAAUCCUGACUGAAUCUAAACCUGAGGAAACAUUAAAGGAAUUGUGGGCGAUGAAUUGGUAUUGUAGAUCUAUAUGAAAAUUGCUGUAGGAGUUAAAAUAAUUGAAAAAUAUCCAUUUAUUGGAGAUCAUGUUUAAUGUGGGUGUACACAUGCCGUCUCUUGCUGGUGAGCACUUACUUGUACAGAUAUGUUUUAUGUUUUUAUUUCUUUCUGUUCUGUUGUUGUUGUUGUUUGUGUUGGGAGUGUUCAGCACCAUCCAGAGGGGAAGGAAACUCCACACCUCUGCAGGCCCAAAUCCAUGACUGUGGACUCAAAGAUUUACACGCAUAUAAAACAGCACAUACAAAACACACACAUACACCAUGAACACUUGGAAAUGCUGUGGGCAGGAAGAACAGGUGAAAUGGGACCUUUCCAGGAUACCAGUCACAACCUCCCCUUAUGGUACACAAUGGAUGGUGGAGCUGAAUAUGAGUGUGCACAUGUCAUUGUUUAUUUGUGUGUGUGUGACAGAGUAUGUGUGUGUGUGCAUAUUGAGCACAUUUGUGUGUACAGACAUUUAUGUGUGCACAGGUACAUUGUUAAAAAGCGUGACUGGUUUCUUUUCUUUUUUCUUUUUUUUUUGGUUUCUGUAUAGCUACCACUUGUAAAUUGUGACAAGUAUGUGUCAAGAGUUUGUAAGCUGUAACUUUCUGAGAACUAUUGUACUAAAAUGCACUCAAUAAACGCCUUGGAAAACAAGUCAA